AGUGAACGCUGGCGGCAGGCCUAACACAUGCAAGUCGGGCGGCAGCACGGCAAUAGCAAUAUUGUGGGUGGCGAGCGGCGGACGGGUGAGGAAUGCAUCGGGAUCUACCCUGUCGCGGGGGACAACGUUAGGGAAACUUACGCUAAUACCGCAUGAUCUGGAGACAGCAAAGCCGGGGACCCGCGAGGGCCUGGCGCGAUGGGAUGAGCCGAUGUCCGAUUAGCUAGUUGGCGGGGUAAAGGCCCACCAAGGCGACGAUCGGUAGCUGGUCUGAGAGGACAACCAGCCACACUGGAACUGAGACACGGUCCAGACUCCUACGGGAGGCAGCAGUGGGGAAUAUUGGACAAUGGGGGCAACCCUGAUCCAGCCAUGCCGCGUGGGUGAAGAAGGCC
rnacentral:rRNA from 1 species